rnacentral:rRNA from 1 species
AGAACAUGGGUGAUAAGGUCCGUGUUCGAAAGGGAAACAGCCCAGACCACCAGCUAAGGUCCCAAAAUAUAUGUUAAGUGGAAAAGGAUGUGGCGUUGCCCAGACAACUAGGAUGUUGGCUUAGAAGCAGCCAUCAUUUAAAGAGUGCGUAAUAGCUCACUAGUCGAGUGACACUGCGCCGAAAAUGUACCGGGGCUAAACAUAUUACCGAAGCUGUGGAUUGUCCUUUGGACAAUGGUAGGAGAGCGUUCUAAGGGCGUUGAAGCAUGAUCGUAAGGACAUGUGGAGCGCUUAGAAGUGAGAAUGCCGGUGUGAGUAGCGAAAGACGGGUGAGAAUCCCGUCCACCGAUUGACUAAGGUUUCCAGAGGAAGGCUCGUCCGCUCUGGGUUAGUCGGGUCCUAAGCUGAGGCCGACAGGCGUAGGCGAUGGAUAACAGGUUGAUAUUCCUGUACCACCUAUAAUCGUUUUAAUCGAUGGGGGGACGCAGUAGGAUAGGCGAAGCGUGCGAUUGGAUUGCACGUCUAAGCAGUAAGGCUGAGUAUUAGGCAAAUCCGGUACUCGUUAAGGCUGAGCUGUGAUGGGGAGAAGACAUUGUGUCUUCGAGUCGUUGAUUUCACACUGCCGA